rnacentral:rRNA from 1 species
GACGAACGCGUGGCGGCGCGCCUAACACAUGCAAGUCGAACGAGCGGAGAGAGAGCUUGCUUUCUCAAGCGAGUGGCGAACGGGUGAGUAACGCGUGAGGAACCUGCCUCAAAGAGGGGGACAACAGCCGGAAACGGCUGCUAAUACCGCAUAAUGCAUCGGAUUCGCAUGUUUCUGAUGCCAAAGAUUUUAUCGCUGAAAGAUGAGCUCGCGUCUGAUUAGCUAGUUGGCGGGGUAACGGCCCACCAAGGCGACGAUCAGUAGCCGGACUGAGAGGUUGAACGGCCACAUUGGGACUGAGACACGGCCCAG